AAUACAUGUGCUGCUUUAAAAAGAGAGAGAGAGGCAAGCAGUACGCUGGGGCUCUUGCAAAUCAACACUGAUCUAACGUGUAGCCAAGAUGACAAGCCCUGCCCUCUCUCAGCGUGCGGAUUCCCCGCUUCUUUAUCCCUGGGCGAGUUGUGGCAGCCGGUGUGAGGUGACCGCCUGUUCUGAGCGACUCUCCCCGCCGGCCGGCCGAUGUUUGCUGUAUAAAUCGUGCAACGAUAUACGAUUGGGCGGAGGAGGGCAAUCUGAAAAGCAGUUGGGUACCUACAAAGGGAGGCUGCUCCAGCUGACAGAUCUCUCCUCCAUAUUCUCACAGGAGUUGCUGCUAGUGAGACUUCAGCUGUUUUAUUACUUUCGCGACUUAAAUGGACAUUUCCCGGCAGUACAUAUAAUCUCCAGGAGCUGCGUGUAAUCAGCUGUUUACUGUUUUCAUCACUAUUGUCACUGGGCAUGUUGUUUACCACUGAAAAGUGGUCACACUUUGGAGCAAUUUUUCAAGGGAUGUACAAUUACUUGCUGACUUUCUCAUGCAUUUGGAAUUAGAGCAACAGCUUGUUUGGUCGACUGAGGUGCCCGUGACAGCAAAAUGUACUGGCCAAGCCAAGGGCAGGAGCCUUCUAUGUUAAUUUCCCCCCUAAAGCUGUCCUGGCUUUAUUUUUUUCCUCACUUCCCUACAUCCCAAUAACUAAGAGGGCUUCUCCCACGGUGCAUUUCCACUUUACUUCUUGAUCCCCUUUUCGCCGGCUCGCUCGCUAACAUAUUGAGUUAUCUGGGCUGCUGAGAGCCCAUAUUAUUUCAAAGUUCUUUUUAAAAAAAGAAGGCUGAAGGGGCAGAGGGAGCCAUUCCUGCCUUUUACGGGAAGGUGCGGGCACCACCAGGCUUGGGGAGCUGCUCAGGAGUCCUGCCUUUUGCCUUGGGACCCAAGGGGCGAGUCGGGGUGUUUUGGGGACCGCUGGGCUCCUUUCCUGCCAGAAGCUCAGCAGAAAGGACCCUGCUCGCACAAAGUGGCCCACACGGCUCCCCCUUUCCCGCUCCGCUUUGUUUCCCUCCGCCCGGGGAAUCGUUUGGACACUGUGCCCCUCUCUCUCUUCUGCCUUCUCCCCUGCUCCGCAGGCCGCUUCCCUCCCGCCCCCGGGGAAGCUGAUCGCACGGCGGCUGCCCGCGCCCUGUUCCGGUGCUGCUCUUGCCCCGCUU
rnacentral:lncRNA from 1 species